rnacentral:rRNA from 1 species
UAAGCGAAUAGUGAAAUGACGAGGCUCAACCUCGUGUCCAUUAUUUGAACUGCCAAGCUAGAGAAUGAGAGAGGUCACUGGAAUUCCCUGUGUAGGAGUGAAAUCCGUAGAUAUAGGGAGGAACACCGAUGGCGUAGGCAGGUGACUGGCUCAUUUCUGACACUAAGGGCACGAAAGCGUGGGGAGCAAACGGGAUUAGAUACCCCGGUAGUCCACGCCGUAAACUAUGGAUGCUA